rnacentral:snoRNA from 1 species
CAAUGAUGAUAAAUUUUAACCAGUUCUGCUACUGAUAGUUUAUGACGAUUUCA